rnacentral:rRNA from 1 species
CGGGUGGAGCUUGCGGUUUAAUUGGAUUCAACGCCGGAAAUCUUACCGGGACCGACAGCAAUAUGAAGGCCAGGCUGAAGACUUUGCCGGAUUAGCUGAGAGGAGGUGCAUGGCCGUCGUCAGUUCGUACUGUGAAGCAUCCUGUUAAGUCAGGCAACGAGCGAGACCCACGCCAACAGUUGCCAGCUCGUCCUCCGGGAUGGUGGGGACACUGUUGGGACCGCCUCUGCUAAAGAGGAGGAAGGAAUGGGCAACGGUAGGUCAGCAUGCCCCGAAUUAUCUGGGCUACACGCGGGCUACAAUGGGUGGGACAAUGGGUAUCGACACCGAAAGGUGAAGGCAAUCUCCUAAACCCAUCCGUAGUUCGGAUUGUGGGCUGCAACUCGCCCACAUGAAGCUGGAAUCUGUAGUAAUCGUGUCUCAAAAUGGCACGGUGAAUAUGUCCCUGCUCCUU